rnacentral:lncRNA from 1 species
AAAAAAAUACAGAAAUCCUAACCCUAAAAAAAAAAAAAAACUUUUUCUUUCACACCAGCCGCCCCCCCCUUUUGUUUUCAUUUUUUUGGUCUCCCGGAGUUGCUCCUCGGUUUGAUUUUUCUGACCCAAAAAACCGGCCACCCGAACCAGCCUCCCCCUGUUUUCAUCUUCUUCUCCGCCGUUCCCUUUUUCUCGGCCACAAACAAAUCCAAAACAACAGUCCGAAGCCGCCCCCCUCAAUAUUCAACCCGACAACCCCAUUGCUGCCUCUCACCAGCCAAAGAAACCGCCCCCCCCCUUACCUUUGAAACCAAAACAGAACCUUUUCUUUUUCUUCAUCGCCAUUUUCCAGCUUCUCCUGCUCUUCCCCCAUAAAAUCCUGGCCUCCACUCCGUAACCCCGCACCUUUUGAUUUGUUUUUGGCUUCUCCCUCAACUGACCAAACAGCAGCCCCCCAGCUUGAAUUUCUUUCCCCCGAUCUGUUCUUCUUUCUCUCCACCGCCGCAGGCCACGGUCUCCCACGCCAGCAGCAGCCUCGCCACCACCGAUCUCUAACCAACCGGCCAGCAGCAGCGUUUUCCUUCCCCAUCAGCGACCAAAACAGAGCCGUUCCCCCAUCUCCUCAGACCCACGGCUCCCGCUUCAGCCAGCGAGUCUUUCCUUCCUUAGCUGCCGAACAUCCUCCAGCGACAGCAAUAACCCACCGACGCCUUGACAGCAGAUCCGGUCACCCGAGACAGAGACGAGAGGAGGUAGAGAAACGGAAGAGACGAUCUGAAGAAGAAGAGGAAGCAGCAGAUCGGAGAAGAAAGAACAAAAAAAUCAGAUCCUAAAAUAAAGAAAUAAAAGCUUAAAAUCGACUGCUUGUUGCGUUUUGGGUGUUUUUGCAGGUAACACCGGCGAGGACGGGAAGAGGGGACGAAGCUGCCACCAGCCCCCCUGCUGCGUCCUUUUUUUUCCGGCGGCGCGUGAACCCACGCGCCGCCAGUGACGGUGGCGCGUGGGGAGACGCGCCACCACUGUUUGCUGCGGUGGCAGGAGGCUAUCAAUGCGAUUUCUGAAGUUUAGGGACUCUUUUUUUUGUAAUUUUUAAAUUAUGUAAUGUAUUUUUUUUUUAGUGUUUAGUUUUUAUAUUUUUUGUAAUGGGAUGUACAAAAAGAAAAGAAAGAGAAAAUAAUCAUAAAAAAGGGGUUGUGUGUGUUGGUGUAUUUUUUAUUCAGUUUUUAUAAUUUGUAUUUUGUAUUUGGGAUGGAAAAGAAAAAGAAAAGAAAGAAAAGAAACAAAAAUAGUGAAAGUGUAUGUGUGAGUUUGUAUUUUGUUUUAUUUAUUUAUAUAUUUUUUAAUGAUAAAAUUGCAAGGACUAAAAAAAGAAUUUAAUAUUUUGAUUGGAUCACGGUACAGAUUAUUAACUUAUACGUAAGUUGUAUUUCUAACAUCCGAUGAAAAGAACAAUUAUUAAAACUUUUUUUUCACACGUUCAAAAUCACGAAGCAGCUUACCUCAGGUAGGGUGCGUUAGGGGUGCUAAUACCUUCCCUAACCACAACCAGUCCCUUACCCGCGAAUCUCUGACAAGACCAGUACAUCCGGUUUCCUAGUAGCCCGCAAUCAAUUACUAGGUGGCGACUCCAACGAACCAAAUUCAAGCAACGCAAACAAAAGGAAUUAAAUCGCCAGCCGAUGCCGCGCGCGAUUUUUUUUGGGGUGCGACAGAAUGGCGACUCCACUGGGGAAGGUAUUUUUUCGAUUAUUGGACUAAGCUUUGUGUAUUUGAUGUGUUUAAGUUUUUGCAUUUUUAUCUUUUUUUGUUAAUAUUUAUUUCCAUGCAUUUUAUAGAAUUGUCUCAUGCAUCACCUGUAUUUAUUUUUGAAAGCACACACAAGCUUCUAGGUUAGGUGGGGAACUAGCGAUCUGCCCUAAGACUAUUGGUCAGGGUUCAGAUGCGUGAAACACCCAACUCAUAUCUGAGUGCAUGCUUGGUAAUGGUGGGUAUACGUGCCUUAACCAUUCCUUGCAACGCCCCCAAACUGUCUUUACGAAGAACGUCACUGGGCAGAUAUGAGACCCUUUUGAGACCAGAUAGAAAACUUACCCAUGUUCACAUAAUGAAUAGAACCUGUCCUUAGGUUGUAUGUGCUAUCGUUUUUUGCAUAAGGGCAAACCCUUCUUGAAGCAUCUUGAACUCAAGACUUGUGGGUGACACAUUGGCCGUUGCUCCGAAAAUUUUCAUUGUAGAGUUUGGGCAAAAAUCACGAUUCUUGUCCAUCAUACAAGAGUUACGACCAUAUUGUCACCUCUCGAAGGGAGAGUUCAUCAUAUAGAUUACAUGUUCAUACAUUUAUCAUGCAUGAACCGGGUCGAAACGUAGGUCCCUUGUACAAGUUGUGCUGCACAAGAUUGAAGAAAAAUAAUGGAAGUGAACAAAGGAGUCAGAUAUAGGUUCAGUAUCAGAUUAAGGUUGAGAGCAUCAAGAGUGAAGUAGCGGGACUCAGAUCUGCUCGAACAAGUGUUGAGCAUCAAAUGAAAAGAGAAUGUCUGCACAGUUUUCUGUGGGAACACUGCUUGUUCACGUCCAAUUGAAGCUGUACCUUUCCUUUUCAGUCAUGAACAACAGCAACAACGCCUUCAGUCAUCAACUAAUGACAACUCUGAUUCCUGUCCAGUUGCGCUGUUAAGUAUUCAUCGCCUCCACAUCAUCUAAUGGAACCAAACGACUACUAACCUCCUGUCAUGGUGCAUUAGUCUGCUUUGAAGUUACCCCAAUUAUGAGCUCAAUUCCAGUUCAGCAGCACAAGAUGUUGGUCUAAAAAAAAAAAAAACCAUGAUCAGACACUGAAUUUCAACGCGGUAGAGCUCUCUCUGUAGAGAUUUAUUUGUGGAUCUGUCAAUGGCAAAUGCAAAAGGGAAUGUAUUAAUUUCAUAUGCUUUGAAACUAUUUCCCACCAGUGGCACCAGCAAAACAUUGUAGUAGGCAGAAGAGUCAGACCUGGUCUGAUAAUAUUAGUAGUUGUCAAACUUCAAUGUGGCAGAGCUCUCUCUACAAAAAUCCAUUUAUGGCUCUGCAAAUUGGGAAUGCAAGAGGGGAUUUACUAAUUGCAUAUGCUACAAAUAUUUCUCUCAUCAGUUUCAGCACGAAGAAACUAUAGCAGGUUGAAGAGCCAGACUUGGCUUGAAAAAUAUGAGCAGACAUCAAACUUCAACGUAGCAGAGCUCUCCCGACAGGAAUCUGUUUGUGGAUCCGCAAGUGUGAAAUCCAAGAAGGAAUACAGUAGUUUCAGAUCAUUUAUGAUUUUUCUCCAACAGUGUCAGUAUUAAAAUGCAAAAGUAGAGAGAAGAUACAUGCCUAGACUGAAAAACAUGAAGAAUACUGAAACUUCAACAGAGCAGGACUUCCUCUAUAGGUGUUUGUUUGCUGCACUGUCAGUGAGAAAUUGAAGAGGGACGAAGGAGUUUUAGAUUCAUCAGGUGCUCUUCCAAUAAAGACAAUGUGUGAUUCCACACGUCGGUAGUGGCGAUACUACAAGUUUCUGGAUGCUGCCAAGAUUACCAAGCUGUUAGAAAGUUUUCUAACAAUCCUCAACCAACCAUAGCAACAUUGGAAGAUUGAAGGAUCUGCCAUGGAUUCUAGAACAAUGAUGAGAGGUGAAUCAGGAGAUGACUUUGACAGUGUGAACCCUUAAUUAUGUGGUAUAGCCAGGUCUCACGGCAUCAUCAAUUGCUCAAAAUAUCUUUGCCAAGAUGGGACAUUGCUCUGCCGUUUAAGUUGUCGACCAGCAUCCGCAAGAUUCCAGAAUUUUGCUUGACUCCGACAAAUUCCCAUGCAACCACCAAUUUCUUAGUGGUAUAAUCCAGAUAAGAGAUGUGAUGUCAUGGUGGGGUCCUCAACCAUUUCAAGUGAACAGUUUCAAGAAUUGCAAGAAUUGAGUCUGGAAGUUGGUGAGCAAGAGACAGGUGGAGUCGUUGAAGAAGGGUGUCACUGGCUAUAUUGUUCCCCGAACAUCUUCAGAAGGACAUGUGAUCGAAAAUGCUUGGCAAAACACAGAUAUUGCCAAAAAGCUGAUUCGAGAAGGGUGAUGAACAGUCAAUCAUAUUGUUAUGGAAUUCUGCAUUUUGUUUUGGGAUCACAUCUCAUCCUUCAACGAAACAUGCCUUGCUUUUGUCUCUUUGUUGUUUUGAAAUCAACAGAUGUUUAGCAUUUUAUUCUGACAAAAUAUUUUGAUCAAACUACAACAUGCGAUAAAGGUUAAUCAAUCCGGAAGAUUAGAAGUGUUUUGAUUACAGAAAUGACUCUAUGCUUGAAAAUGACAUGAGGUGACCAAACAAUUUUGAACUCAUACCUCCUGAAACUGAACCACACAUCAUAUAGCUAAGUUUUAACAGUAUGCAUAAUGACAUGUAGUGGAUUCGGUAGUCAUGGACUCGUGAAUCAUGACUCUUACAAGUCCAAAUCAUUACACUGGAUGAGGUCAAAAUUUAUCGGUUCUAACCGACCUUGCUUGAAAUGAGAAAAGGUCAUCUUUGAUAUCCUUCACUUUCUAAAGAUUAUAUCCCUUGCAGUCCCAUUUUGAGCCUGGUAAAAUAUUUUCUUUCAAAAGAAACCCUGACUAGGAUCACACCCCACACUGGGGGCAAAUGAGAGAUAUUUUGGAGACAUUGAUAAAUUAAUGGAUAAAGAAAGCUUAGAACAAAAGUCCAAUGUUUGAGAAAGGGCUAGCAGAAGAAAAUCCAUAGAUUGAGGGCCAUCCAAGAAAAACUUUGAGGAAGGCUAUGAAAAAAAAAAAAAAAUGGAAAGGAAAGAAAAUGCCUAUCAAUUCUAAGAGAGGCAAGACAGUUUUCAAUUGAAAAAAGACCAAAUGCCAAAAGUCAACACUAGAAAAAUCGAUGCUUCAUAUCUUUUGGUGUGUCUUGGAUAGAGCCUCUAAUGUCUUCAAAUAAUUAGAUUAGUUUAUUCAUCAAAGAAAAAGUUGGAUUUGCAUUAUGACCUAUGUUAAGAAAUUCUGAUAUUUGAAGAUUAACAAGGUUAUAUGUCACUCUCUACAAUGACAACAAGAGAAAGAGAAUCGAUGAAUAGUUAAUGUUGGUCCUAGGUCGUUGAAACCCUCAAACACCUUUUGAGCCUAUGGAAUUCCUUUCUUUCAUAGCCAUGAACCAUAGCCUGCAUUACGUGCUUUUAAAAGCCCUUUUUAAUCAAGCAAGCAAUCUGAACCGAUAAAUGGCGCUCUCAAAACUUGAAGAGUUUUUUAUAAGAGUCGUGGCUUCAUUGAAUUAAGCUACUGGUUAUUAUACAUGCUGAUAAAAUAAAUGCUAAGAAAAGAAACAACCUUUCUUGAUAAAGCCUGAGCAUCUUGUUUUUUGAAAUUCAUAAAAAUGUCACCUCAUCAUAGACUAUCAAAUGAUAUACCCAAUAUCAAGGAUUCAAAUUGAUACAAAGAACCAUGGAAAAAGCCAUUUUUAAUCCUACAUUGGGUCAAUUUCUGUUUUCAAAAUGCAUGACAAUCAAAGGACUAUAUAUUUCGAAUAACGUGUGUUGGGUCUUUGAUCAAAAAGCUUGAUUUUCAAAAGAUUUUCAAAAAAGGACAUCUCUGAUUUCAUUUCAACAAACUAGACUUUGAAUAGACAUGAUCUUUGAAAUAUGAGAGUUGAUUCCAGAACAAGGAAGAUUAUCAAACACAGAAGAACAUUGAUUGAGUAUGCAAAAUCAUUGAUAGAAAUGACAUUGACAAGUCCUCGACACUCCUUGAAAAGUUGAGCAGCUGGGGGCAAUACAGUAGACCUUGAAAAAAAAAACAAGCAGUGCUCAGAUCAGCUAUGAGGCAAUGAUUAAAUGAUGAAUCAGUGAACUGAAGACAAUGAUGUUCAAAGAAGAUAAUCAAUGAACGAGCACAUUCAGAUCAUGGGGGCAAUGUCAUUCCAAAAUGGCCCAUGCUCUAGUGAACCCUGUCGGCAAUGGAGAAACAAGGAUGUACUUGAAGGACACUUUCAUAUCAUCAUCUUUUGAAACAUGGCUAGCAAUCGAUGAAGAUACACAGAUGAAUGUAAUUGAAUGGUGAAAAGAUGCACACCACCAAGACUGACUGUGGAACAAUGCUGCACUUAAAGGACAAUCUCAUAUUGUCAUUCUUUGAAACAUGGUUAUAGAUAGAUGUUAUCACACAACUGCACUGAAUGAAUGUCGGAAAGGCACCCACCUCGAAGACUGAUUGUGGGACAACUUGUUCUGAAGCCAGAUGAGCGCUUCACCGCAUGAGUAUGAGUGAUAAAAGCAGCAUCAUUGAUGAGGCUGAGACAUUUCUUUUCACAAUCUGAUUAGAAGAGUUGAAAGGAAUCUAUGAGAAGCACUGAGCAUACAACCAUGAGCCUUUGUACUGCAAGCUAUGAGAUGCAUGUCUGGAUGACUGAUGAGUUCCAAGAAGGCUGAUGAUAACAUGUACUUGAAGAGUACUGUUUCAACUAGAGGCAAGUUCAUGACUGAUUAACAAUCUUGAUGGGUGUUGGCAUGAUGCACACAAUCAAUCAGAGGAUAAUUCUCAGAAGAAGCCAGGAGAGAAAAUCCUUCAUGAUGAAUCAAGCAGUACCACACUUGGGGGCAGGGUCAAGCUUGAUGAACGAUGCAAGCAGUAAUUGUCGAAGACAGCCCGGGAUGGGCACUGCAUUUACAGCUGAGUGGAUGGCUAGCACAUGAAUGAGCCAAUACAUCGGAAGAACAAAGAAAGCUUUGGGAUACAAACAAGGGCACCCUAUGACGAUGGAGCAUCAAAGAGGGGGGACCUAUAUUUCAAAUCAGGUAAGGAUGCAUGCAUAUCAUCUAACCUCAAAAAAAAAAAAAAAAAAAAAACAUUUGCACAUAUUUUUGAAUUGUUACAGGAAAAUCCUUAAUGAGGUCCAGCAAGAUGGUGGAAAGAGAAAGAAGCAUUGUGGUGAUGAUAAUAAAGAAUCGGUUUUGAUCAUGGAAUAAAAGGACGAUGGGAUGAACCCUACCAUUAGGAAAAUCCCAAAGAAAUGAAUAGAUCAACCUUGCAACCGGGAAGCCUCGAGUUUUCAACCCUUGCAGUCAGGAAACACCGAGUUUUCAAACCCAUGAUCGGGAAUUAUCAGGAAGCACCAAGUUUUCCAGCCCUUUCUUCUGUCAUCCCUUCAGAACUUCGCCAGGUAAGUCCUAUUUUUCACACUUGUAUAUCACAUUUUUUCCAUCUGGGUAGGUCGCCCAUCAUAAUAAGACCGUUUUCAUUUUUUCCAUCUGGGUAGGUCACCCAUGACAAUGAGACCGAUUUUCACAUUUUUUCCAUCUGGGUAGGUCACCCAUUACAAUGAGACCGCUUCACAUUCUUUCUAUUUGGGUAGGUCGCCCAUCACAACGAGACCACUUCAUCACAUUUUUCCAUCUGGGUAGGUCACCCAUUACAAUGAGACCACACUUCAUAUUUUUGGGUAGGUCACCCAUUACAAUGAGACCACACUUCAUAUUUUUUCCACGUGGGUAGGUCACCCAUUACAAUGAGACCGCACUUCACAUUUUUUCCAUCUGGGUUAGGUCACCCAUACAAUGAGACCAUCAUUUUUCUGGGUUCGUCACCCAUACAAUGAGACCAUCAUAUUUCUGGGUUCGUCACCCAUACAAUGAGACCAUCAUUUUUCUGGGUUCGUCACCCAUACAAUGAGACCAUCAUAUUUUUCUGGGUUCGUCACCCAUACAAUGAGACCAUCAUUUUCUAGGGUUCGUCACCCGUACAAUGAGACCACAUUUUCUAGGGUUCGUCACCCGUACAAUGAGACCAGCACUAGGGUUCGUCACCCGUACAAUGAGACCAGCACUAGGGUUCGUCACCCGUACAAUGAGACCAGCAGCACUAGGGUUCGUCACCCGUACAAUGAGACCAGCAUUUUUCGAGGGUUAGUCACCCGUACAAUGAGACCAGAAUGAGGUCGCCAGAUGGGAUCUCAUGUAGCUUUGGUUAAAGGGAAUCGCCAGAUGGGAUUUCAGGUUAACCGAGUUACACAUAUUUCGUUCCAGUUGAAUGAGGUCGCCAGAUGGGAUCUCAUGUAACUUUGGUUAAAGGGAAUCGCCAGAUGGGAUUUCAGGUUAACCGAGUUACACAUAUUUUCGUUCCAGUUGAAUGAGGUCGCCAGAUGGGAUCUCAGGUAAACCCAAUGUGUGGGCAGGUCGCCCGUGAAAAUAGACUAUUGGGAGAGUGUGGGUCGGUCGCCCGUGAAAAUAGACUUGAGUGAGUAUGUGUGGGCAGGUCGCCCGUGAAAAUAGACUUGAGUGAGUACGUGUGGGUAGGUCGCCCGUGAAAAUAGACCAGAGUGAGUAUGCGUGGGCAGGUCGCCCGUGAAAACAGAUCAGUGUGAGUGUGUGGGCAGGUCGCCCAAGAUAAUGAAAUCAUUUUCCUUUUGUUUUCUUUACAAAGCUUACUAUGCAAAAUUUUGAAGAGUUUUGCUUCGUAAGCAUUGUAAAGAGGGGGCAUCUGUUGCUACCAAUUUUUGACCCAUGUUUUGAUAUAUUUUCAAAAAAAUCCAAAAAUUGAGAAAAGCAAAGAAAAUCCAAAAAAUGUUUUUUAAUAUAUUUUCGUCAUUUUAGCAUUUUCAACGUCGUCUAAAAAAGAAUUUAAAUUGUUAAAAGAUUUUCAAACGCGUUCGAUUUUCACGCGUAUUUUUAAAUCAUUGAUUUUCGCAUUUAAGUCGACGUUGAUAUUGCUCGUUUUCAAAAAAUACAAAAAAAUAAGAAAAAUCAAAAUUUACAAAAAAAAGAAGUUGAGGGACCAAGUUGAAAAACCUAGCAAAAUUUUGCCUAUAAAUACUGCCAAACUGAUUUAAAGAGGGGGGUAAUUUUGACACUUUUAGAAGAAAAAAAUACAGAAACCUAACCCUAAAAAAAAAAAAAAACUUUUUCUUCACACCAGCCGCCCCCCCUUUUGUUUUCAUUUUUUUGGUCUCCCGGAGUUGCUCCUCGGUUUGAUUUUUCUGACCCAAAAAACCGGCCACCCGAACCAGCCUCCCCCUGUUUUCAUCUUCUUCUCCGCCGUUCCCUUUUUCUCGGCCACAAACAAAUCCAAAACAACAGUCCGAAGCCGCCCCCCUCAAUAUUCAACCCGACAACCCCAUUGCUGCCUCUCACCAGCCAAAGAAACCGCCCCCCCCCUUACCUUUGAAACCAAAACAGAACCUUUUCUUUUUCUUCAUCGCCAUUUUCCAGCUUCUCCUGCUCUUCCCCCACAAAAUCCUGGCCUCCACUCCGUAACCCCGCACCUUUUGAUUUGUUUUUGGCUUCUCCCUCAACUGACCAAACAGCAGCCCCCCAGCUUGAAUUUCUUUCCCCCGAUCUGUUCUUCUUUCUCUCCACCGCCGCAGGCCACGGUCUCCCACGCCAGCAGCAGCCUCGCCACCACCGAUCUCUAACCAACCGGCCAGCAGCAGCGUUUUCCUUCCCCAUCAGCGACCAAAACAGAGCCGUUCCCCCAUCUCCUCAGACCCACGGCUCCCGCUUCAGCCAGCGAGUCUUUCCUUCCUUAGCUGCCGAACAUCCUCCAGCGACAGCAAUAACCCACCGACGCCUUGACAGCAGAUCCGGUCACCCGAGACAGAGACGAGAGGAGGUAGAGAAACGGAAGAGACGAUCUGAAGAAGAAGAGGAAGCAGCAGAUCGGAGAAGAAAGAACAAAAAAAUCAGAUCCUAAAAUAAAGAAAUAAAAGCUUAAAAUCGACUGCUUGUUGCGUUUUGGGUGUUUUUGCAGGUAACACCGGCGAGGACGGGAAGAGGGGACGAAGCUGCCACCAGCCCCCCUGCUGCGUCCUUUUUUUUCCGGCGGCGCGUGAACCCACGCGCCGCCAGUGACGGUGGCGCGUGGGGAGACGCGCCACCACUGUUUGCUGCGGUGGCAGGAGGCUAUCAAUGCGAUUUCUGAAGUUUAGGGACUCUUUUUUUUGUAAUUUUUAAAUUAUGUAAUGUAUUUUUUUUUUAGUGUUUAGUUUUUAUAUUUUUUGUAAUGGGAUGUACAAAAAGAAAAGAAAGAGAAAAUAAUCAUAAAAAAGGGGUUGUGUGUGUUGGUGUAUUUUUAUUCAGUUUUUAUAAUUUGUAUUUUGUAUUUGUGGAUGGAAAAGAAAAAGAAAAGGAAAAGAAAAGAAACAAAAAUAGUGAAAGUGUAUGUGUGA